UCCACGUGACGAUGACAUAGGCGCGGGGC
rnacentral:sRNA from 1 species